UUUGAGCGUGUCUUCUCCCCUUCUCGGGGAAACACCCUCGGACCCACGAACCCUUGACCUCAAAUCGGGUGAGACUACCCGCUGAACUUAAGCAUAUCA
rnacentral:rRNA from 1 species